AGUGAACGCUGGCGGUAGGCCUAACACAUGCAAGUCGAACGGCAGCACAGUAAGAGCUUGCUCUUACGGGUGGCGAGUGGCGGACGGGUGAGGAAUACAUCGGAAUCUACUUUUUCGUGGGGGAUAACGUAGGGAGACUUACGCUAAUACCGCAUACGACCUACGGGUGAAAGCAGGGGGUCUUCGGACCUUGCGCGAUUGAAUGAGCCGAUGUCGGAUUAGCUAGUUGGCGGGGUAAAGGCCCACCAAGGCGACGAUCCGUAGCUGGUCUGAGAGGAUGAUCAGCCACACUGGAACUGAGACACGGUCCAGACUCCUACGGGAGGCAGCAGUGGGGAAUAUUGGACAGUGGGCGCAAGCCUGAUCCAGCCAUACCGCGUGGGUGAAGAAGGCCUUCGGGUUGUAAAGCCCUUUUGUUGGGAAAGAAAAGCAGCAGGUUAAUACCCCGCUGUUCUGACGGUACCCAAAGAAUAAGCACCGGCUAACUUCGUG
rnacentral:rRNA from 1 species